rnacentral:sRNA from 1 species
GACAACUCGCGGGGAUUGUUUUCCACACUGUGGAAGCUUUGUUCUUUUCGUUUUUUGCAAUAAAUCUUGUUGCUGCUCGCUUUUUGGGUCCACAUUGCUUUCAUGAGCUGUACCACUCACCGUGAAGAUCUGCAGCUUCACUUCAGAGCCUAGCGAGACCACGAGCUCACUGAAAACAAACAACUCCAGACGCGCUGUCUUAAGAGCUAUAACACUCACCGCGAAGGUGUGCAGUUUCACUCCUGAGCUAGUGAGACUACGAAGCCACUGGAACGAAGAAACUCCAACCACGUUUGAACAUCAGAAGGGGCAGACUCCAGACACUUCAUCUUAAGAGCUGUAACACUCACUGUGAAGGUCUGCAGCUUCACUCCUGAGCCAGCGAGACCACGAACCGAUCUGAACAUCAGAAGGGACAGACUCCAGAUGCCCCACCUUAAGAGCUGUAAUACUCACUGCAAGGGUCUGCAGCUUCAUUCUUGAAGUCAGACCAAGAACCCAGCAAUUCCCAACACACAGGGACCAGCUUCUUUCCUAACUCACUUAGGCUCUUCGUGCUGCUCUGGCAACUAACACCCUUGGCUGCAGGGGCUUGGACACUACCCUUAGUCACUGACAAUUGUGUGAAGGCUGCUGUCGUUAACUUCACUUGAUCACCUUAGGCUCCUGUGAAGUGGUGAGCAAUUCAAACAAAUUCCUGUCGUCAAAUCAUGAGUCCACCUGUCCCGAGUUGGAAGUCUGAACUCAUGUUCCUGGAUUCCUCCCAUGCAUCUUGGUGCUGGUGUGGGGCCUGAACUCAGCCAAUCCGCAACACCUCCAGGAGUCUUCCUCUUAGAUGCUGAGGCCACGGAGAAGGAAGCAGCACAAAGAAUGAACCCUGGAGAGGGUGCCAGAGGCAGGCGGGUUCCAGCCAUGUGGCGGCACAGCCUUACUGGGAUAGUCUAGCUGUGUCACUCAGAAUCCUGAUUUUGUUUGGAAGGACAGCGUGCCUGGUUCCAGGUGUUCAGCUGCAUUGGCGCCAGAGCACCAAUGGGGCAAGAGAAUCCUCUGGAGAAGUUUUCUGUGAUCUCAUCACAGGAGUAGCCCAGAGGAACAGCCCAGGGCCUGGGGCCUAGGAUGGGUGGACCAGGCCAUGCAGCUGGUUGGGGGCUUGACCCCCACUCAAAAAGGAUAUACAUCUUUCCACACCAAUAGACCUUGUUUUCCGAUGUAGCAUUAUUUUUCAUAGUUGGCGAAUAUACAGUUAUGGAUUCAUAACAGCAAGAUGGAGAAAUUGCACUGCAGAGAAAUCUUUAAAAGCAAUUACCUAAUACUGCAGAUUGCUGAACUGUACCCACACCCAAGACUGAGCAUUGGAUCAAUCCAGAAUAUACAUCAGGUGUUCUGCAAUGUCUGCCUAAAACCAUGACUCUGCCUCCUCCAGCUGUUGCUACAUCUCACUAUGGGUUUCCUGUGACAUUUUGAGCAAGUAUGCCUCUGUGACUGGGGUUCUUACACUCCAGAAUGGAUGAGAAGCACCGUAAGUGGCUUUUAAAAUGAAUAUUCCCUGGCCCUUCAGUCGCUCUAUAGGUCAAGAAUCUGAAUUCUCAACCUGUCUAGAAGGUUCUGGUUUUAAUGGUCUGUGGGCUGCACAUUGAGAAACCUGUUCAGCGAGUGCAACAAAGGUUCCACAUGUGAGAAAGGAAGCAUCAGGUCUCUUGAGCCUGUUCUUUAAUCUGUAGGCUGCACCUUCUCUUUAAAUUCUGCUAAUAACACCAUGCGAGAAAACACCCGAGCUUGAAAAGCCCAUGUUCCAACAUAACUGUCCUUCACCACUCUGGAAAAUUAAUGGUUUGUUUCGAUUAUCCCUUUGUUAAACUCCAAAGUCAAAGAGCUCUGAAAGGCAUACGGUUAUUUUAAGUUUCAGGUGAUUUCUGUUGCCAAAUAUUUUAAAAAUUUAAAAUUGCUACGUGACCUCUUAGUAGUACUAUUAGAUUUCCUGACAAUAAAAAUAAGUCUUUUGGUUUCACCAUUUAUAGUUAGUACAGCUAAUAUUAAGUAUAAUUUUAAAAGCCUUUUAUUUUCUCAGAAAGAAAAAAUAAUCAAAAUCUGCUCAGUGUGGUAUUGAAUAAUUAAAAACAAAAGAACAGUAUCUUCACAUUAG